AUACGGAGGGUGCGAGCGUUAAUCGGAAUUACUGGGCGUAAAGCGUGCGUAGGCGGUUGAUUUAGUCAGAUGUGAAAGCCCCGGGCUCAACCUGGGAACUGCAUUUGAAACUGGUCAACUGGAGUAUGGUAGAGGGGGGUAGAAUUUCUGGUGUAGCGGUGAAAUGCGUAGAUAUCAGAAGGAAUACCGAUGGCGAAGGCAGCCCCCUGGACCAAUACUGACGCUGAGGUACGAAAGCGUGGGGAGCAAACAGGAUUAGAUACCCGGGUAGUCC
rnacentral:rRNA from 1 species